UACGUAGGGGGCGAGCGUUGUCCGGAUUUAUUGGGCGUAAAGAGCUCGUAGGCGGUUCGGCAAGUCGGAUGUGAAAUCUCCACGCUCAACGUGGAGGGGCCAUUCGAUACUGCCGUGACUCGAGUCCGGUAGGGAAGUGUGGAAUUCCCAGUAUAGCGGUGAAAUGCGCAGAGAUCGGGAGGAACACCCGUAGCGAAGGCGGCACUCUGGGCCGGAACUGACGCUGAGGAGCGAAAGCGUGGGGAGCGAACAGG
rnacentral:rRNA from 1 species